CAGAAACUACAAAGGAAGUUGACGGGGCCCGCACAAGCGGUGGAGUAUGUGGUUUAAUUCGAUGCAACGCGAAGAACCUUACCUGGUCUUGACAUCCCGGAGACCCUUAGGAAACUAGGGGUGCUUCCAUCUGGAAGAAUCUGGAGACAGGUGCUGCAUGGCUGUCGUCAGCUCGUGUCGUGAGAUGUUGGGUUAAGUCCCGCAACGAGCGCAACCCUUGCCUUUAGUUGCCAGCAGUUCGGCUGGGCACUCUAAAGGGACUGCCGGUGUUAAACCGGAGGAAGGUGGGGAUGACGUCAAGUCCUCAUGGCCUUUAUGACCAGGGCUACACACGUACUACAAUGGCCGAUACAAAGGGCAGCGACACUGCGAGGUGAAGCCAAUCCCGUAAAAUCGGUCUCAGUCCGGAUUGGAGUCUGCAACUCGACUCCAUGAAGUUGGAAUCGCUAGUAAUCGUGGAUCAGCAUGCCACGGUGAAUACGUUCCCGGGCCUU
rnacentral:rRNA from 1 species